AAGAAAAAAUUUAAUUAUGUUAUAAGUUUUAUAAUUAUUUAAUAUAAAUAAAUUUAAUAAAAAAAGUUUGUGUAUAGUUUAUAGAUAAAAUAAUAUUUUUAUAGAAAAAUAGUAUUGAUAAAGAAAAUUGAAAAAUUUUUUUGUUUAGAUAAAAGUAGUAUUUAUUUUAUGUACCUUUUGUAUCAGGGUUUAUUAAAAAAUAAUAAAAAAUUUUUAUGUUCUCGAAUUUAAAGGAGCUAAAUUAGUAUGAGAGUUUUUGUGUUAUAAAAAUUUUUAAUUUAAAUUUAGUAAUGAAAUGUUAUUCGUCUUUAAAUAUAUCUAGUUUUUUAAGAAAUAAAUUUAAUUUAUAUAUUAAUUAGUUAAUUUUUUAAUUUUUAAGUUAAUUAUUAAUUAAUAUAAAUAUAUCAAGGGAUAAGCUUUGAUUUAUUAGAAUUAUAAUUGGUAAAAUAUUUAAUUAAUUGUAGAUUUAGAAAUAGUUAUCAAUAAAAAAUUUGUAUUAAUUUAUAAAUUUAUAAAAAAUAUUUAAUAAAAUUUAAUUUUAGUAUUAAAAUAUUGAUUAUAAUAAUUAAAAUUUAGUGAUAAUGAUAAAAUUAGUAUAGAAGAGUUGUUUAAAUGAUUUAUUUAUAAAGAUUAAUUUAAGGAAUUCGGCAAAAAUAAUGUUCACCUGUUUAACAAAAACAUGUCUUUUAGAUUAUAAUUUAAAGUCUAACCUGCCCACUGAGAUUUUUGAAGGGCCGCGGUAUUUUGACUGUGCAAAGGUAGCAUAAUCAUUAGUCUUUUAAUUGGAGGCUUGUAUGAAUGGUUGGAUGAAACAUUAACUGUCUCAAUUUAAUAAAAAUAGAAUUUAAUUUUUAAGUUAAAAAGCUUAAAUUUAAUUAGAGGACGAGAAGACCCUAUAGAUCUUUAUAAUAAGUAAUUUAUUAUUUAUUUAGAAUAAUAAUUUAUAUUAAUUAAUUUAUUAUUUUAUUGGGGUGAUAGAUAAAUUUAGUAAACUUUAUUUUAUAAUAACAUUUAUUUAUGAAUUUUUGAUCCAUUUUUAGUGAUUAAAAGAUUAAGUUACCUUAGGGAUAACAGCGUAAUUUUUUUAGAGAGUUCUAAUCGAUAAAAAAGUUUGCGACCUCGAUGUUGAAUUAAAGGUUAAUUUUAGGUGCAGAAGUUUAAAGUUUUGGUCUGUUCGACCAUUAAAUCUUUACAUGAUUUGAGUUCAAACCGGCGUGAGCCAGGUUGGUUUCUAUCCUUAAUAAUAUAAGAUAUUUUAGUACGAAAGGACCAAAUAUUUAAAAAAUUUUUUAAAAAUUGAAUAAUAUUAAU
rnacentral:rRNA from 1 species